AUUGAACGCUGGCGGCAUGCUUUACACAUGCAAGUCGAACGGUAACAGGUUAAGCUGACGAGUGGCGAACGGGUGAGUAAUGCAUCGGAACGUGCCCGAUCGUGGGGGAUAACGCAGAGAAAGCUGCGCUAAUACCGCAUACGAUCUGAGGAUGAAAGCGGGGGACCGUAAGGCCUCGCGCGAUCGGAGCGGCCGAUGUCAGAGUAGGUAGUUGGUGGGGUAAAGGCUCACCAAGCCGACGAUCUGUAGCUGGUCUGAGAGGACGACCAGCCACACUGGGACUGAGACACGGCCCAGACUCCUACGGGAGGCAGCAGUGGGGAAUUUUGGACAAUGGGCGCAAGCCUGAUCCAGCAAUGCCGCGUGCAGGAAGAAGGCCUUCGGGUUGUAAACUGCUUUUGUACGGAGCGAAAAGGCUCUCUCUAAUACAGGGGGCUCAUGACGGUACCGUAAGAAUAAGCACCGGCUAACUACGUGCCAGCCGCCGCCGUAA
rnacentral:rRNA from 1 species